rnacentral:rRNA from 1 species
GAACGCUGGCGGCAUGCCUUACACAUGCAAGUCGAACGGCAGCGCGGACUUCGGUCUGGCGGCGAGUGGCGAACGGGUGAGUAAUACAUCGGAACGUACCCUGUUGUGGGGGAUAACUAGUCGAAAGAUUAGCUAAUACCGCAUACGACCUGAGGGUGAAAGCGGGGGACCGUAAGGCCUCGCGCAGCAGGAGCGGCCGAUGUCUGAUUAGCUAGUUGGUGGGGUAAAGGCCCACCAAGGCGACGAUCAGUAGCUGGUCUGAGAGGACGAUCAGCCACACUGGGACUGAGACACGGCC